rnacentral:rRNA from 1 species
CAGAACUAACGCUGGCGGCGCGUCUUAAACAUGCAAGUCGUACGAGAACCCCGAUGCUUGCAUGGGGGAGAGUGGCGAACGGGUGAGUAACACGUGGAUAAUCUGCCUCAGGAUGGGGACAACCAUUGGAAACGAUGGCUAAUACCGAAUAAUAUAACUGUUACAUAAGUAGCGGUUAUCAAAAGUGGGGACCGCAAGGCCUACUACCUGAAGAUGAGUCCGCGGCCCAUUAGCUAGUUGGCAGGGUAAUGGCCUACCAAGGCGACGAUGGGUAGCCGGCCUGAGAGGGUGAUCGGCCACAUUGGGACUGAGAUACGGCCCAGACUCCUACGGGAGGCAGCAGUUAAGAAUCUUGCGCAAUGGGCGAAAGCCUGGCGCAGCGACGCCGCGUGAAUGAUGAAGGCCUUCGGGUUGUAAAGUUCAAUAAGCAGGGAAGAAUAAGCAAAGUAUAACACGCUUUGCGAUGACGGUACCUGUCUAAAGCCUCGGCUAACUACGUGCCAGCCGCCGC